rnacentral:rRNA from 1 species
UGGAUCCAGACUUUGAUUAUGGCUCAGAACGAACGCUGGCGGCGUGCCUAAUACAUGCAAGUCGAGCGAGCUCGCCUAGAUGAUUUUAGUGCUUGCACUAAAUGAAACUAGAUACAAGCGAGCGGCGGACGGGUGAGUAACACGUGGGUAACCCGCCCAAGAGACUGGGAUAACACCUGGAAACAGAUGCUAAUACCGGAUAACAACACUAGACGCAUGUCUAGAGUUUGAAAGAUGGUUCUGCUAUCACUCUUGGAUGGACCUGCGGUGCAUUAGCUAGUUGGUAAGGUAACGGCUUACCAAGGCAAUGAUGCAUAGCCGAGUUGAGAGACCGAUCGGCCACAUUGGGACUGAGACACGGCCCAAACUCCUACGGGAGGCAGCAGUAGGGAAUCUUCCACAAUGGACGAAAGUCUGAUGGAGCAGCGCCGCGUGAGUGAAGAAGGGUUUCGGCUCGUAAAGCUCUGUUGGUAGUGAAGAAAGAUAGAGGUAGUAACUGGCCUUUAUUUGACGGUAAUUACUUAGAAAGUCACGGCUAACUACGUGCCAGCAGCCGCGGUAAUACGUAGGUGGCAAGCGUUGUCCGGAUUUAUUGGGCGUAAAGCGAGUGCAGGCGGUUCAAUAAGUCUGAUGUGAAAGCCUUCGGCUCAACCGGAGAAUUGCAUCAGAAACUGUUGAACUUGAGUGCAGAAGAGGAGAGUGGAACUCCAUGUGUAGCGGUGGAAUGCGUAGAUAUAUGGAAGAACACCAGUGGCGAAGGCGGCUCUCUGGUCUGCAACUGACGCUGAGGCUCGAAAGCAUGGGUAGCGAACAGGAUUAGAUACCCUGGUAGUCCAUGCCGUAAACGAUGAGUGCUAGGUGUUGGGAGGUUUCCGCCUCUCAGUGCUGCAGCUAACGCAUUAAGCACUCCGCCUGGGGAGUACGACCGCAAGGUUGCAACUCAAAGGAAUUGACGGA